rnacentral:rRNA from 1 species
AUCGGAAUUACUGGGCGUAAAGCGUGCGUAGGCGGUUCGUUAAGUCAGAUGUGAAAGCCCUGGGCUCAACCUGGGAACUGCAUUUGAAACUGGCGGACUAGAGUUUAGUAGAGGGGAGUGGAAUUUCAGGUGUAGCGGUGAAAUGCGUAGAUAUCUGAAGGAACACCAGUGGCGAAGGCGACUCCCUGGACUAGAACUGACGCUGAGGUACGAAAGCGUGGGUAGCAAACAGGAUUAGAUACCCUGGUAGUCCACGCCGUAAACGAUGUCAACUAGCCGUUGGUCCUAUUUACAGGAUUAGUGGCGCAGCUAACGCAUUAAGUUGACCGCCUGGGGAGUACGGCCGCAAGGUUAAAACUCAAAUGAAUUGACGGGGGCCCGCACAAGCGGUGGAGCAUGUGGUUUAAUUCGAUGCAACGCGAAGAACCUUACCUACCCUUGACAUCCAUAGAAUC